rnacentral:rRNA from 1 species
AUUGAACGCUGGCGGCAGGCUUAACACAUGCAAGUCGAGCGGGGGAAGGUAGCUUGCUACCGGACCUAGCGGCGGACGGGUGAGUAAUGCUUAGGAAUCUGCCUAUUAGUGGGGGACAACAUCUCGAAAGGGAUGCUUAUACCGCAUACGUCCUACGGGAGAAAGCAGGGGAUCUUCGGACCUUGCGCUAAUAGAUGGGCCUAAGACGGAUUAGCUAGUUGGUGGGGUAAAGGCCUACCAAGGCGACGAUCUGUAGCGGGUCUGAGAGGAUGAUCCGCCACACUGGGACUGAGACACGGCCCAGACUCCUACGGGAGGCAGCAGUGGGGAAUAUUGGACAAUGGGGGGAACCCUGAUCCAGCCAUGCCGCGUGUGUGAAGAAGGCCUUAUGGUUGUAAAGCACUUUAAGCGAGGAGGAGGCUACUUUAGUUAAUACCUGGAGAUGGUGGACGUUACUCGCAGAAUAAGCACCGGCUAACUCUGUGCCAGCCGCCGCCGUAA